UCAGAAUCAUCUGAAAGGAAAACCCGAGUUCUGGGUCCUACCCUGAUUCUGUAGGUCAGAAGUCAGGCCAAGAAUUUGUGUUUCUAAUAAGUUCACAGACAAUGGUGAUGCUGCUGAUCUGGGGACCACACUUUGAAAGCGACUGAAUUAAGACACAAGCACCUGGAGGGCCAAGUCUGCACUUUGGCUACUGCAAGAGCCUCAGACCUCACCUGGCAAACAUGGGAGACAUGCCCUCCUCCUGAAUGGAAGCUUCCUGAGAAAGAACUGUACACACACCCCAAGGCUCUGCAACCCCAGCCUCCGGGAGGGCCCGGACACACAGCAGAAGGGCUCGGCGAACACAUGCUGAGUGAACAAAUGACU